AUUCAUUUAGUAUAAAAAGUAUUUUUAACUUCCAAUUAGACGGUUUAAUAGAUUAAAAUGAAUA
rnacentral:tRNA from 1 species